AAAAAAAAACAAAUAUCAUUCACACAAUCAUGCAAGUCAUAUAUAACUAUUCAUCUGCUCGGGCUGAAAAAUAUAAAUAAAAUUAUAGAGCGGACUGGAGCCCCAGACAACUAUUCUAUAUAUGAUAUAUCAUGUUGACGCGCCAACAUACUUUAAAAAGCAGCGCACAAAAAGUAUCAAAAUCUGUAAAUAUCUGUAAAAUCUAGUCUGUAAAUUCAAUUCUAUUCAAUUCCCUCUGAAAGCCCUGUACAUUCUAUCAUUUAAAAUCUUUGAUUUCCCUGCCAAUCCAGAUUAUUCGCCCUGCCAAUCCAGAUGAUUUGUAUUUUGGGGAGGCGACGUCAUCCCCCACCAAACUUUCGCCCCUGCGCGUCGCCAUAUUAAUUCAUGUGUCCUGAUUUUGCUGACUUGCAGUUGUUCAAUUUAAUGUGUAGUUUUAAUAGUAAAUUUGUAAUAAGUAGACGAUAACAGUUGAACAGAAGGCCC